UACGUGGGGUGCAAGCGUUGUCCGGAAUUAUUGGGCGUAAAGAGCUCGUAGGCGGUUUGUUGCGUCGGCUGUGAAAUCCCGAGGCUCAACCUCGGGUCUGCAGUCGAUACGAGCAAACUAGAGUGUUGCAGGGGAGACUGGAAUUCCUGGUGUAGCGGUGAAAUGCGCAGAUAUCAGGAGGAACACCGGUGGCGAAGGCGGGUCUCUGGGCCGAUACUGACGCUGAGGAGCGAAAGCGUGGGGAGCGAACAGG
rnacentral:rRNA from 1 species